AACGCAUGUUUUAGUAUAUAAACUUCUUCCCACACCCCGUCCCCCCCAAAAAAUGCAGCAAACAGAUAGAAUCUGUUUCAUCAGAAAUCAUCACUUCAUGUUCAACAAGUUUCACUCAGAUAGAAGAUGGGUACUAUGCAUACAGUUACAAAGUAGAUUAGAAUUCUGAACAAAACUAGCUGAUACAAAUACUCAUUAAUCAUGGGAGCAGAGGAGCAUUACGAUACAUCUUCUAAGUAUAUAAAACCUUCCUCUACCUUCUUUGAGAAGAUCACCCAUUCCUUUGCCCAUAAUCCUUCUUUUAGAUACUCUAAUACUCUCAGAUGUUUCUAUCUUCAUCUUCUCCUCUGCAUAUAUCAACUUGGGAUUCUGAUGCUUGUUUCCUCCUUGGUCUUUCUGAAACAUGUAGUGGUGUACUUUUUUACAACUUUUCCUUGUGUUCUGAGUAUGCUUUUCUAAUGUGAUGAAAAUAUAUCACCUUUUUUAUUUGGGGGAGCUCUGGGGUGGUGUUGAAU
rnacentral:lncRNA from 1 species